rnacentral:rRNA from 1 species
UCGGGAUGCCGGCGAGCGGCGGACGGGUGAGUAAUGCCUAGGAAUCUGCCUGGUAGUGGGGGAUAACUCGGGGAAACUCGAGCUAAUACCGCAUACGUCCUACGGGAGAAAGCGGGGGAUCUUCGGACCUCGCGCUACCAGAUGAGCCUAGGUCGGAUUAGCUAGUUGGUGAGGUAAAGGCUCA